CCCCAGACUCCUACGGGAGGCAGCAGUGGGGGAUAUUGCACAAUGGGGGGAACCCUGAUGCAGCGACGCCGCGUGGGUGAAGGAGCACCUCGGUGCGUAAAGCCCUAUCGGCAGGGAAGAAACAGACGGUACCUGACUAAGAAGCCCCGGCUAACUACGUGCCAGCAGCCGCGGUAAUACGUAGGGGGCAAGCGUUAUCCGGAUUUACUGGGUGUAAAGGGAGCGUAGACGGCAGUGCAAGUCUGGAGUGAAAGGCGGGGGCUCAACCCCCGGACUGCUCUGGAAACUGCCAUGCUAGAGUGCUGGAGAGGUAAGUGGAAUUCCUAGUGUAGCGGUGAAAUGCGUAGAUAUUAGGAGGAACACCAGUGGCGAAGGCGGCUUACUGGACAGUAACUGACGUUGAGGCUCGAAAGCGUGGGGAGCAAACAGGAUUAGAUACCCCAGUAC
rnacentral:rRNA from 1 species